rnacentral:sRNA from 2 species
AAUAGUUAUAAGCAUGUUCCCGAUGGGAUUCACGUUUUGUGAAGCUGCCUUGUAACCAAUUUUUAAGGGGGAAAAUAAAUUG